rnacentral:tRNA from 1 species
GCCCUGGUGGCCCAACUGGUAGAGGCAGUCGGCUCAAACCCGGCACGGUGUGGGUUCGAAUCCCACCCAGGGUA